CACGGGAUGACUGGCAGGACAUAGGGGAUAAGCUGUCAUUUGACUGAAGUGACGCUGUCCACUGAACUAUUUGACUGCAAAGAGAGACAGAUGACCCUUUGGUGAAUUAGCCAAGGUGAGAGAGUGGUGCGCAAAGAAGGAAAUGACACCAUGCAGAACGUAUGGAAGCUAAGCACACCUCUGGCUUUGUUCGUAACACUGCUAGAUUCAUGCAGGAAGAGAAGUUAUACUGUGGUCCAGGGAACUCACCCAAGCCACAACCCUAUCUACUCCUCCCCAGCCUACCCUGCUCCUCAAUAUCAUGCCUGCAGCAGAGAU
rnacentral:lncRNA from 1 species